UUAGCUCAGCAAAAUGCAUAAUUAUCUCAGCUCCAAAUAUCAUCAUCUUCCUCAUUUGAAGCUUCUAAGUAACAAAUUUUCAAUUAGCCAUAACUCCUUCGUUUUAAGUCCGAUUGAUGCGAUUUUUAUGGCCACGGAACGAGCGUGAGAUUCUCUACUCAUCAAGCCCAGAAAAUCAAGACAAACCGAGAGGCGACGGGAUCGACGGUUUUGGCCUAGGAGUAUUCGGCCAAGACUAGUGCGUAUAAAUGAUUUGGAUUGGAAAGCAAGGAGUACCUAGACUUGGAGUGACUAGAAGUCCAUCAUUUUUUCGGGAGUCUGUCUUGCCAUGUACAGACCGGCUUCCGUGACCGUGACCGCUGCAGUAGUACAUUGUGUGACCAGUCAUGACCUAGGACAAUAUUAUAGUUUUGGAAAAUGUUUAUAACGAUGUUAGAUUUACGUAGCCAGUGUUUACAAAAUAACUAUUAAUGUUUUCAUAAUUAAAUGCUUCCGUGUUAUAACAUAAUUGCGAAAAAUUUAUAGUGAAUUUCAGGCUUGCUACGGGAUUCGGAACUACAAUUCCCAUUCCCUAGCGCCGGUCGCGGCCCUCGAUUUUGGGUCGUGACAGUUUCCGCAGGUGUUGGUUAGUUUAAAUUACAGCCGUUAUAUUGCCGAAAUUUUGAAAACGCUCAAUUAAAGUUUUAUAAAGAUUUUUAAAACGCGAAAAAGAAAUUGCUAAAUUUAGGCUUGCUACGGGUUUCGGAAACGAAAAUUCCCAUUCCCUAGCGCCGGUCUCGGCUCGAGAUUUCGGGUCGUGACAAAUGUGGUAUCAGAGCCAGGUUGGUCCAGGAUACCACUGCUUUGUGUGAGUCUACCUAGGAAACUACUGCAGCACAUAGGAUUCGAGUCAUGUCUUUUUCAUGUUGUCUUCUGUUCUCUAUAGUUUCAACCUUCCUAUUUAGGAUAUAAGCCGCGAUUAUCGUGCGAUACUGCGUGCGAAUUAAAUAAUUAGUAUUUAUGCGACUUGGUGACUAGGCUUAGGUAGGAAGUAAUGUAUAGUGUGGGGAUGUUAUGAUAAGCAUACGAUAUAAGCGUUUAAGGAUGACUGAUAGAAAGGUGUAGAUUUAAAGAGGCGGAAGAACUUACCAAGUUACAGAGUUAAAGUCUGGAGAACUUACAAAGUUAAAAGUUUAUGAAUUAAAGUUAAUUGUUUAAACGAUUUUAAAAGCAUAAUUGUGCCUAGUCCCGAGAUAGAAAUGCAUUAUUGCCACGACAUGAAUAGAACUGCAUCACUACAUACACAUUAAAUGGAAAGAAUAAUAAAUGAGUUCAUACAUUAGUAGGACAUGCAUCAUGCUCAUUUGGCAUAGACAAGAGGUAAGUUGUGGCAACUCUUUGGGGAUGAGAGACGUCAUCACCCUAGAGCACAAUUAUGCUGAUCUUUAAAGGAUUUAAAUAUGAUUUUUAAAAAGGGUCAUUUUCUUUGAAUUGCAAAGAUAAUUGAAUUAUUUUUAAAGAGAUUUGUUUUAAAACGUAAGUAUACCUAGACCGGAACUCUGUAACGAAGGUAAAAUGCUCGAGGUUAGGUUACAAGCAACUCUAAAAGGCACGACAAACGUGUAUUAAAACACAAAAUGAAGAAUUGUGUUUUGAAUAUACAACGUUGGUAGUAGUUCAACGAACUAUAGUGUGAGUAGAAUAGUAAGGCGUAUCUGAGAACAAAAUGAAAGUUGUAGACGGCCUUGCAUAGAACGAGUUUCAAGUGACAAACUAAAAUUUGGACAGAUUCUGGACGUUGGUUUUGUGGCCUGAAGUGGGCUAAAAACCUAAAUUUUUUUACGAAGUAGAGAAAAAAAAUGAUUUUUUAGUUAGUUUGGAAAACUAACUACGUAAUACAUGGAUAACGUAAUACAAAAUAAGUAUAAGUUAGAAAAUCGUAGAAUAAAAUAUCCUAUGAGAUUAUGCCUUAAGGAGAUGGCGGAAGUAGUGAGCACUACCAAUAUUAAAAUAAUUGGAUGGUAAGCAUUAUAAGAAAAUUCGAGGACGAAUUUUUUUAAGGGGGGAAGAAUGUAAUGCCCCGCAUUUUUGGAGAAAUGUUUAAUUGGAUUAAACAUAUUAUUUUAGCUAAAGGGAGCUAAAAUAAGGAAAAAUAGCCCGUAUAAUUUUUAUCAUUGGAAAAUUCGGAUUUAAGCCCGGAAUUAUUAUCGACGUGCUUAAGUAAUAAAUUAAUUUAAUAAAUUAAUAAGCAAAAGAAAAAAAAAUAUAAAAUAUAGUGUAGAGACAUAUUAAAUAGUAGGCCUAAUUAACAACAAUACAAGUCCAAACAAAUAGUAAAAGAGAAAACUCAAAGUCCAAGCCCAAUUUCUUUCAUUAUUAAUAAUUAAAAUAGAGAUAUUAAUAAGGAUAAUAGAAACAAAGGAGAAAAAGAAGGAGAUUUCCAGAAUUUUCCUCUUCUUCUUCUCUAAACCAUUUCUCAUCCCAAAACUUCCAUUUUCCACCAAAAUCAUGAAGGAAUCUUGGAUAUUUUGAGGAUUAAGCUAAGAUUCUAUCUAUAGCAACAAUAAUCAAGAUAUUGAGCGACUUUGGCUUGGAGAAGUAGUGGACUAAGGAAAUAGCAACGGGCAAGAUAAUUUGAUUAUUGAAACAAAAUUGGAUUUAAGCGAUCGAGGUACUCAGUAGAUCAAGGUUGACCCGAGCUUCCAUUCUUGAUCCGGAAAGCUCGCUCUUUUGACAUGUACAGUUUCUGUCUUUUGCUCUAGCGCUGCAGUAGAUAGUCAGGCUAGUUUAUUUUUGUCGAGGUCUAUAGCGGUAUGGUUGUAUUUUGGGUUAUCACCGCUUUUUGUCAAUAGUUUUUGAUAGGUCUCGUUUCUGGUAAUAAACAAUUAUCAGAGGUAGUUUUAGAUUAACUGUUUAACUUACAAAUGAUGAUUGAUGAUAUUUAUAUAAUGGCUGUCAAGUUGUAUA